AGUUAACCAGUGUUAAACCAUAGUUCAUUGAAUUAGGCACAUAUUGUUCAACUAAUUCUAAGAAACGCGACUUUGAAAAUCCCUUGAGAAGUCGUGUUUUAGUUUGCUGUAGCGACUUUAACAUAAAUCUGACGAUUUUAAUUUCUUGCCAUUCCCUAACCCUCUCCAGCGGAUCACAUCAUCACCGCAGCCGCCGUCGAGGGCCGCCGGAAGAGAUCUUCUGAAAUGGAGGAGAAGCCGUCAACGCUAAGUUCGUCGCCUACGUCCAGCAAUUACACCACCAAAACCACACAAGAACUCGCCGUCGAAGGCCAGAAGCAUCUGGAAGAAACGAUUGAGUCCGCUUUCUUAAUCCUCUCCGCCAUGAACGAUGAGCUUUGCAAUCCCUCGCUCUGGUCCAAUACUGCUUCGGCUAAUCCUCCGAACGCUGCAACUGCGGCGACCGCUGGCAAUGUUGGCGGCGGACACACUAGCAUGAGCAAUGGCCACAACAACGGCGACGUUUUAUCUGAUUCGUCCUCGUCGGCGUCUUCGUCUGCCUCGGCUUCGGCGUCGCAGUCUCACCCCCACCACCACAAUAGCUCUGACGUCGGCGGCGGCGCCCUCGAUGAGGCUAGACUUCAGUACAAGUCGUCUGUUGCUGCCCUACGGUCUGUACUAAUUGCAAUCUCCAGUUCCCAGAAGGCUAAAACAUCUGAAGCAGUACCAGCAGGUAGUUCCACGCCUCCGGCAGAUCAAACAGAAAUUGAGAAACUUGAAGAACAGGCCGCUACUUUAAGAAAGACAAGAACAAAAACCUGAAGCUUCUGAUAGACCAGCUCCGCAAUCUUUUAGCCGAUAUUUCCACAUGGCAAAGUCCUUGUUCUGUAUAAUUUGUAUUCAGAUUCUGAAACCACCAGUUCUCCAUUGAGUAAAGCAGCUUCCGAGGCAUCUGACAUUGCCCGACUGCUGAUCUUCAUCGAUGUCUGCACAAUGUAGGUACGCUGCAUUUUUCUGUAAGAUUACUAUGUUAGUUUCACCCUUUUUUUUUUUUUUUUUUUUUUUUUUUUAAUGAAAGUGAAUAUAUUUGAAAAUAUUGAUGACCAGAUUUUCUCAUUGUUGCUGUUAAAUUAGUACCUUCGUGUUAUUAAAUCUAAUUAUUCCAUACAAUUUUUUACAUGGUAGGGUUUGUUAGAAUACCAUAUUGAAGGUAAAUGUGCACAUAUAUAUUGCAUUGGGGAUUGUUUGAAUCCAAAACUACGUUAUUCAAUCUAUAUUUUAUAAAAUAGGCUAGAUUGCAUAAAAAUUCAUCAGGGAUUUCACGAAAUUGCGGCAAUACUCAGUCUCUUUAUGGUUUCAUAAAUUAUGCGGCUAACUCUCGUCUGUCCUUAUCUAUUUAUUCAACGAUGUUUGAGCUGCAUGUGUUCAAACUGC